rnacentral:rRNA from 1 species
CCUACGGGUGGCAGCAGUGGGGAAUAUUGCGCAAUGGGCGAAAGCCUGACGCAGCGACGCCGCGUGAGUGAUGAAGGUCUUCGGAUUGUAAACUCCUUUUGUUAGAGAAGAUAAUGACGGUAUCUAACGAAUAAGCACCGGCUAACUCCGUGCCAGCAGCCGCGGUAAUACGGAGAGUGCAAGCGUUACUCGGAAUCACUGGGCGUAAAGAGCGCGGAGGCGGGAUAGCAAGUCAGAUGUGAAAUCCUAUGGCUUAACCAUAGAACUGCAUUUGAAACUGUUAUUCUAGAGUAUGGGAGAGGUAGGUAGAAUUCUUGGUGUAGGGGUGAAAUCCGUAGAGAUCAAGAGGAAUACUGAUUGCGAAGGCGACCUGCUAGAACAUGACUGACGCUGAUGCGCGAAAGCGUGGGGAGCAAACAGGAUUAGAUACCCUAGUAGUC